ACCUAUGAAUGCGGGGGUACGGUACCGCUGUACUACGGUCCCUUGAUUGAAAAUCGAAGCAAGAUCGGAGUCCGUCAGAAAGAUUGAAUACCACAUUUCCACGAUGAAACGAAAAUGUUCACGUUCGAAAGUUCGAGCUAUCAUCAAAAGGACUUCCCCUAACGCAAGACUAGGCAAAAACACGGAUAUAUUGAUCUUUCUAAACUACAUGUUGUUCUUGCGGAGCUUGGCUAUCAGGGCUAAUACUGAAGCACAAGAGAACAGAGAGAAUGCUCUUUCUCCUCUCCACAUCCGAAGCAUUGCCAAGGAGGUUCUGAAAGUAUUCAGAGGCUGAGCAAGUCAGGAAUUCAGGAUAAACUUGUGAUUUCACAGCUGACAAGAGCAGCACUCCUUGCAGAUCUAAAACUGUAUCAUCCUAUCCAGAAUAAAGUAAUAUGAGAUGUGGGGUGGUGAUGUCAUUGGUAACUGUGGAACAAUGAUAUCAUAGUUUCUAGUGGCUAAUGCAGAGAAAAGUACUUGCCAAUCUGUUCAUACCCGGUGGGAUUUUGGUUACUUUGAAAGUGACUGCACAUGGAGCUGUGGAUGGAGCUCAGAGUAAGCUACCUAACUGUCAUCAGCAAGGCUGGCUCAUCUGGUGGUGAUAACCUACUUAUAUAAAUAUCACUGUUGAGAAUUUUUUUUGGCUAAAUUGUAGUCUCAUGUUGUUCUCCUCGUUUCAAAAGAUAUACAGUAAACAACUAAAUCAUUCAUGCCCUAAUUACAUACCUGCCAACUACUACGAUUUUGGCGUAAUUAUUACAAUUUUUUGAUAUAAAUUACGCCUUACGAUUUUUUGUCAUAAAAUUACGAUUUUUUAAUUUUUAAAAAUUUUUAUUUUUAUUUAUUUAUUCUUUUUUAUUUUUUUUUUUUUUUUUUUUGCCCGUUCCCCUGGCACUGUCCAGGCCGACGCUUAAGCGUGCCCGGGAGAGCACCGGCAUGGUACCAAGAGUAAAAAAAAGUUUCACAGCUCAAUCACUGUCAAUUCACCACUCAGAAAGUGGGACCAAAUGUCCAGAUUUCUGUUUAGACUCUGAGGAAAAUUAGUCUGUCAUCUUUGGUUUUAAAAACAGCAUUGCUUACUAUUAUUAUUAUUAUUAUUAUUAAAUCAGCGCCUUCAACUGCAACUCAAAGUAAAAUCGCUUGAGUUUUCGGUGACGGACCUGGGAUACUUCUACCGUAGUAUGGUGGUGUCAACAACAAAAAAAAAUUGAGUAUUCGAGUACCUCAUACCACGCUUAAAUGCACAGCCCUUUAUUUUUCUCCUUUAGGUUCUAUUUCAUCAGGGGAAUUUUGAGCUUUUAGUCCUUGUUUUUUAAAUAUUUUUUAUGGGGGAGGGGGUUGCAUAAGUGUUGAAAAAUGAGUUUAAAGUGAAGGGAAAAUGCAUUCCUACAUGUUGAAAAUACCAAAAGCUCCCUACCGUGGGAGGGGGACAGCCCUCUCCCACACACAACUCCCCCUCCGCUCGGUCGCUUCGCUCCGCUCCGUCACAGUCCUUGUAAAAAAUGAUUACUAUUUUUAGUCUUCAAAGGUUGGCAGGUAUGUAAUUACCAGGUUUUGUCAUUUUUUAAGCAUGAUCUAUGUUUCUUGAGAAUGGUGACAUAUUAAAGCUUCAUUCUUGAGUUACGAAAAACACAAAAACAAAACAAAUUUACAAGGGGUAUGAAUAAUUUAGUAGCUAAAUGUAUGUACAAAAUCAUUUUGUAUUUUAUUUAGGAUUUCUGUUUAGUUUGUGUACAUAUAUGACAGGAAGGUAAGCUAAUGUCUGCACAUACUUAAAUGCCUAUGCUACGACCCUUCCACCCCGAUGGCUCACGCUGCACAACAAUCUCAGCACUUUGCCUGGAGAUAACGUGCGUGUAGACUAAAGCGUAUACACACAUCGGUUUUACACAUGUAGUGCAGGUUGCUUACUUGCCUUUGUUUAAAUUUGUGUUCCAGGCCUUCAAAGUUAGUUUUUACCUCAUUAUUUAAUGUUUCACUUGAAGAGGAAAACACCUAGUAUUGCUAGUAUCUUUCUAUUUAUCAUCCAAAAUCAAAGGAAUCAAACAAAAAGUUCUUGAGUGCCUACCAAAACUGUACAUGAUGUGUAACUCGAUACACAAUGGAAUUAAUGUAUGAACAA